UACAGAGACCUCAAGCGUUAUCCGGAAUCAUUGGGCGGUAAAGCGUACCGAUAGGUGGUUUUGUUAGUCUUGGGUAAAAGCCAGAAGCUCAACUUCUGAGUUUGCUUAAGGUACUGCGAAACUAGAGGGCAAAGAGGUGAUUGGAACGAAUGGUGUAGUAGUGAAAUGCGUUGAUAUCAUUCGGAACACCGAAAGCGAAGGCAGAUCACUGGGUGCCUCCUGACACUGCUAGGACGAAAGCGUGGGUAGCGAAUGGG
rnacentral:rRNA from 1 species